GGAGUAACUUCAAAGUAGUACCGCCCGGUUUGGUCUGUGCGUUUGCGCUGCGCACCAGAGUCCCGGGUAACACACUCCUCGAAGAGAGCUGGAGCAGCGUUAAGUUUGCAGCCAACCUCGACCAAGAUUUCAACUGAGCAGGAGGUGACAAUGCCCACCACACCAAGGCAGAUCAUGCUAGGAAGAAGUUUGAUGUCUUCCACCCAUUGGAUGGUCAGCAUUGAGGGGAAGGUCCUCUUUGAAGCUAACCAACUUAAUGACUUCGCCAGUGCUUUUGUCGUCUUCUUUAGCUCCUUUUAUGCGUUCAAUCUUGAAUAUUAAGAGUCAGCAUCUACUACACUGGAGUUGGUAUAAGGAUCAACCCAGAUGAGGGCACCAAGUGCAUGGCCGAAGUGGGUACAAGCCGCAAGGCGGGAGUAGUCCAAAGAAAGGUGACAAGCAUCAGCUCCCAAGUCACCACCUUCCUCCAACGGCUCACCAAGAUUGAGUGGAAGACAUCAAACUAGUCCAGGACGGACCACCCCAGCCGAUGUGGAUCAGCAAGCCUGAGUAUCAUGGGUCCGGCCCCUUCAUCGUCCUUCACACAUGCUUCUCAACAGACUGCUUCUCCUUCCCCUCCCCAACCAAAUGCCCAACAACUUCACCUCUGUGGUAAACAACCACACCACAUUUUUCAAACAUACUCAGGAUUUCUAAGAAAAAAACAACGGAAAGGAUGAACUGAUGGCUAGGUUAUUAAUUAAAAAAAUGUGCAUUUUGUUUUCUUUGAGUCAAAUCAAAUGGUAACUGCAUUGUUCAGACAUCAUGGCUGCCCAUUGUUUGGCGCAUACUUAAACAUGGUUGUAGUAUUGCUUGUGUGUAAAUUGUGUUUGUUUGUUUUUUGCACUGCAGACUUAAAAUUGAACUUGGUCUUGGUAUUUGUACCUGUAUAAUACGAAAAUAAAAAUGUAAUUCUUUUGUA